GGAGCUAUAUGGAGGAGGUGUGCUGCUGGAGGAAUGAAGCAGUACAAAUCUAUAUCAGGUGCAAGGAAAGAGGUCCUGAGGACAAAAUAAUGAAACGAGUUGUCUAAUUCUAGCACUGCAAGCGUAACUUUGGAUCUGAAAAUCAAGAUGAGUUCAUCUUCAUCAGUUCCCUUCAAGAACAGGACCCCGGCCUUCCACAAUGCCCGAGAUCGAAAGGUGGAGAAAUAUACCCUUCUGGCCAAAACCUUGAGAGCUAAGAGUUACCAGGUUCAGAUACACGCCCUGAUCGUUGGAGCCCUGGGUGCAUGGGACCCCAGUAACGAGUGAGUGCUGAGAGAAUGCAGAAUUGGUCAGCGCUACACUCGGCUGAUGCAGCAACUCAUGUUGUCAGAUGCCAUCAGGUGGUCAAGGGACAUCUACAUAGACCACAUCACCGGACAUCGGCAAUACCAGGAGGGAUGAGCUGAAGUUGGGAAAGUAACUG